UGCGGAAUUUUAGAUAAUGGAGGGAACUCUGAUCUAGCGACGCCGCGUGCAGGAAGAAGGUCUUCGGAUUGUAAACUGCUGUGGUAAGGGAAAAAUGCUAUGUAGAGUGGAAAGCUACAUAGAGGGAUGGUACCUUACUAGAAAGCCCCGGCUAACUACGUGCCAGCAGCCGCGGUAAUACGUAGGGGGCGAGCGUUACCCGGAAUCACUGGGCGUAAAGGGAGCGUAGGUGGCCUAACAUGUCAACUGGGAAAACCCGGAGCUCAACUCCGGACUUGCAGUUGAAACUGGUAGGCUUGAGGACGGUAGAGGAAGACGGAACUGCCAGUGUAGGGGUAAAAUCCUUAGAUAUUGGCAGGAACGCCGGUGACGAAGGUGGUUUUCUGGGCCGGUUCUGACACUGAUGCUCGAAAGCCAGGGGAGCG
rnacentral:rRNA from 1 species